CCUACGGGUGGCAGCAGUAGGGAAUAUUGCUCAAUGGGGGAAACCCUGAAGCAGCAACGCCGCGUGGAGGAUGAAGGUUUUCGGAUUGUAAACUCCUUUUGUUAGAGAAGAUAAUGACGGUAUCUAACGAAUAAGCACCGGCUAACUCCGUGCCAGCAGCCGCGGUAAUACGGAGGGUGCAAGCGUUACUCGGAAUCACUGGGCGUAAAGAGCGCGUAGGCGGGAUAGCAAGUCAGAUGUGAAAUCCUAUGGCUUAACCAUAGAACUGCAUUUGAAACUGUUAUUCUAGAGUAUGGGAGAGGUAGGUGGAAUUCUUGGGGUAGGGGUGAAAUGCGUAGAGAUCAAGAGGAAUACUCAUUGCGAAGGCGACCUGCUAGAACAUAACUGACGCUGAUGCGCGAAAGCGUGGGGAGCAAACAGGAUUAGAUACCCCAGUAGUC
rnacentral:rRNA from 1 species